rnacentral:rRNA from 1 species
CCAUAUUCCUACGGGAAGCAGCAGUGAGGAAUUUUUCACAAUGGACGAAAGUCUGAUGGACGAAAGUCUGAUGGAGCAAUACCACGUGAACGAUGAAGGUCUUCUGAUUGUAAAGUUCUUUUAUUUAGGAAAAAAAGCGUGCUAGGAAAUGAGCGCGCCUUGAUGGUACUAAUUGAAUAAGUGACAGCUAACUAUGUGCCAGCAGCUGCGGUAAAACAUAGGUCACGAGCAUUAUCCGGAUUUAUUGGGCGUAAAGGAAGCGUAGGCGGGGAGGUUGAUCCAUUGUUAAAAGCAUUUGCUUAACAAAUGUGUGCAUUGGAGAUCGCCUCCCUAGAGUUAAUCAGGGGGUACUGGAAUUCAAUGUGUAGCGGUGGAAUGCGUAGAUAUAUUGAGGAACACCAGAGGCUAAGGCGAGUGCCUAGGAUAUAACUGACGCUGAGGCUUGAAAGCGUGGGGAGCAAAUGGGAUUAGAUACCCCAGUAGUCCACGCCGUAAACGAUGAGCAUUGGGCAUUUGACAUCUGGUCGAGUGCUGUAGCUAACGCGUUAAAUGCUCCGCCUGGGUAGUAUAUAUGCAAAUAUGAAACUCAAAGAAAUUGACGGGGACCUGAACAAGUGG